AGAUUGGGCAGCCCAAGAAACAGAUUGUACCCAAAACAUUUUCGGCGGACACAACAUCUUUGUUUGUAUGUGGUGCUGAGGAUCGAACCCGGGCCGCAUGUAUGCCAGGCGAGCACGCUACCGCUUGAGCCACAUCCCCAGCCCCCAGACUUUAUUUUUAGCUAUCUCCUCCACUAAAGACCAGGUGGAGAGAGACUUUGAAAGGGAGUAUGGAAAACUCCAGCAGCUGGAGGAGCAGACCAAGAGACUGCAGAAGGACAUGAAGAAGAGCACCGAUGCUGACCUGGCCAUGUCGAAAUCUGCCGUGAAGAUAUCCCUGGACUUACUUUCCAAUCCCCUCUGUGAGCAAGACCAAGACUUUUUGAACAUGGUCACAGCCUUGGACACAGCCAUGAAGCGGAUGGAUGCCUUCAACCAAGAAAAGGUGAACCAGAUCCAAAAGACUGUGAUUGAACCCUUGAAAAAGUUUGGCAGUGUCUUCCCGAGCCUCAACAUGGCAGUGAAGCGGCGGGAGCAGGCCUUGCAGGACUACAGGAGACUCCAGGCCAAGGUGGAGAAGUACGAGGAGAAGGAGAAGACAGGACCCGUGCUGGCCAAGCUGCACCAGGCCCGAGAAGAGCUGCGGCCUGUGCGGGAUGACUUUGAGGCCAAGAACAAGCAGCUCUUGGAUGAGAUGCCACGGUUCUACGGUAGCCGACUCGACUACUUCCAGCCCAGCUUUGAGUCCCUGAUCCGAGCGCAGGUCGUGUACUACUCAGAAAUGCAUAAGAUCUUUGGUGACCUCACCCAGCAGCUUGACCAGCCGGGCCACUCAGAUGAGCAGCGGGAGCGAGAGAACGAUGCCAAACUGAGCGAGCUCCGAGCCCUCUCUAUCGUGGCUGAUGACUGAGCUUCCAUCCUUCAAAGACUUCUGGGACACAGGCAACCUCUCUAGUCUUUGCCCUUAGCAGGCACAGGCUCAUGCUUCUCCCACUGGCUGCUGUUUUGGAGACAAGAGGUGGCCCCUGCUCCACCUUAUAAUCCUUUGAACUGAGUGUCUCCAUUCUCUUGAGCCUGUCACCAGGAGCCCCAAACAAACAGGCUGCUCUCCUCAGGCACAGGUGCAUAGCACAGGACAUACCAAAGAGCACCUCCUCAGGAAGCCCACCGUCCACCACCUCUGGGCGGCUGUACUGAAGGCUCCGGUACUGGCAAAUGUUUUGCGUCACCACCCUACUGACCAGCUGCUUGGCCUAUAGAAAACACCAAACACCUGCUGGUCAGACAGUGUGAACCCUGCCCCAAAGAGAGGAACAAGGAACUAGAAGGAGCUCAUUGUAGGCCUGUGCAUAUUAGGAGGCCAUCCAGAAAAGACAGAAAGAUGGGGCAGAAGAGAAGUUACCUGCUCUGCACUGAGCCGAAUCCCCAGGGUAAGAAGGACCCUCUCCAAGUCUCGCCGGUGCAAGUAGCCACACCAGUUGGCAUCAAAGAAUACAAAAGCUAGAAGACAGUCCAAGGGAAGCACAGCAGAUGGGUCCAGCUCCUUGGGCUAUAAAGGAAAACAGAUGGACAGCUUUACUGACAGAUCUCAGUGACUAAAUGGCCCAGGACACAACCUCUUUACAGCAAGCAGCCUGAAUGACAGUACCAAGCAGCCUUACAGCUGAAGGUUCCAGGCCUCUGUGGGGCACUUUCCCAAAAAGAACCUGGUGUGCUCCCAGGUUAGAUCCCUCUCAGCUCCCCCCAACAGGGAGAAUGAAAUGA